CAGCCUGAGAUUGAAAUCAGCAUACACAGAGAAUUAGUCUAGAACCUUGAUCCUGGGCUACAUCUGCAUUUUCAGGAUGCAACUUUCAUAUCAGCAAUGAAGUAUCCAACAGGUGGCCAGAUCUCUACCAUAGCAAGAUUGAAAGGAGCCUUUGCACCUUGAAUAAACACAGCCAGAUUCCUGGUGGUUCUGCUGGUCCAGGUGGGAGUCACUUGCCUUGUACAUGACAGAUGCUCCCUCUGAAUGAUAUUUCCUAUACAAAUGCCUUAUCUGUACUGGGCAUUCAACAAACUGUUGUCGAAUGAAUGAAUAAAUCAAUGGAAAUUCUAUUCAUAUCAUCAGUCAGACAACAACUCCCUCUGUUUUCUCAGCAAGAAUCAAAUCAACACCUCAUCUUUGACCAGAUGUGCACAGGGAGGGCAUUCUGCUUUCUUUCUUUUUUCCCAAAUCAAUAUUUGGAAAACUCAUGCUGGAAAUAGUGGAGGCGUUCUGAGUCUGUCUCUCAGAAUCACUUCUUGGGGAGCAGAGCUGCACCCAGCCUCCGACGCUGUCUGUCUGUCUUUCUCUCCAAAAGGAGGACGAGACAGUUUACCCACCUUGGUUCUCACCUUUGAGAUGCCUGGCUUUGCCUCCUCCUUCACAGGUAUUUGUCCCAUGUGUUAUGACUUGGGGCACACAGAAAGGUCAUGCCAGUUCAACAAGUUUGACUGCAGCUUCCUGUGACACACAAGCAUGAACCUGAAGGGCAAAUGGUAGACUCUGCCUGGAGGUUGUCCUUGGAGACCCGUGGCCCCUGUGACUGACUAUGAUGGUCAAAGCUCUGCUCACUCCAGCACAGGACACGAACUCUACCCAGUCUGUCAUCGACCAACAGGGCGAAAGGACUGAACCUCUCCGGAUCAACUUAUUCUCUGCUGAAACAGGAGUUUUUAAUUAUUUUUUCCACCAAGUACCCAGGGAACCUACUAUCAAGAUUUGCUCUAGUGGAUGAUCAGGGAUAUUUCCAUGAGUAAGUAACAUUUAAAAUAGAAUCUGUAAGAAUUUGUUGAGCAA